GAACAACACUACCACAAACAUAACAAAACAUCCCCUGAAGAGGAGCACCUAUCCAACCCAGAUUCCGGCACUUUAUGGAUCCUCCUUUCCUGAGAUGCCCUGUUCCUGUCUCUAGACACAAGAACUUGGUUCAACCCAGUGCCUUCCCUGGGAGCUACUGCCACAGGAUCAGGAUCACGCCUCCUCAGCCCUUCUCUUCACAAGCUGAAGUGUGCCUCAAGGUCAUGUUUGUCCAAAACAUGCUAUAGAUCAUAACACAGAUUAGGUAAUUUGGAGGCCUCCGAUGAUGUCAGCAUGUUAGUUUCACAAGAUCCAAGCGAUAACGAGGAACUGAGCUGGAUGCCAUGGUGAAGCAGUGGGGGUGAUGAAAGAAAGGAGCGGGAUGCAGCUGCAAAGACAAGGGAGCCACUUCUCAAGAGAAGGGAGCCCUUGCAAGUCUGUUGGAAGAGAGGAGGAAGCUUGCAGAGAAGGAGAGGACCUCACCAGGAGCUAAGUGUGAUCAUAUUGGCCCAACAGUAUGUAAGCAAAAAUGUUGGUUGUGAGCUUCUGAGGAACUUUCUGAAAGACCAUUGGUGCAAGUCCUUCAUCCUUCCCUUAUUCCUUCCUCCACCCUGCUGCCUGGAAUUCAAGUCUACCUCCAUAUUCGACCACAAAGACAACAGCUUUGGGACAGGGAUGUGAAGCCAAAGGACAAAUGAUCCCAGAAGAUUCGGAAUGAGAUAUAUAUCAGCCCAACACUGUCUGUACCUGAACUUAUAAUAUAAAAAUUCUAUUUGUUUAAUGCUAAAGCUAAGUGAGGAUUUUCUGUUACAUACAGCCAAACCUAAUUCUAAUUGAUAU